CUUAUGAUGCAGAGGACAAAAGCUGCUGGAAUGGUAGCACCCCUAAAGACAAGUAGAGCAAAUCCACAGACUGCUGACCAGCACACAUUGGAACCCAGAGACUCUCAUUUCUACCCAGUAACUACCAUAAUAUGGUACAACUUCAAAACAUAUGACACAUCUCC